GAAAAAAAUACUUAACUAGUGAGUUCUUCGAUCAUAGUAUUCUCUCUCAGUGGAUACCUUCUUAUACUCCAUAAUUAAAUGAUAUUGUAGAAAGGAGAAAGUGCAUCUUAUUAGAUAUGAUGCAAUCCAUGAUGUGCUUCAUGGAUCUUUUGAUCUCCUUUUAGGGAUUUGUUUUUGAGACUGCAGCUUAUGUUUUAAAUAAAGUACUA
rnacentral:lncRNA from 1 species